UACAGGGGGUGCAAACGUUGCUCGGAAUCAUUGGGCGUAAAGCGCACGUAGGCGGUUUGUUAUGUCGGAUGUGAAAGCCCUUGGCUCAACUGAGGAAGUGCAUCCGAAACUGGCAGCUAGAGUACUAAAGAGGAUCGCGGAAUUCCCGGUGUAGAGGUGAAAUUCGUAGAUAUCGGGAGGAACACCGGUGGCGAAGGCGGCGAUCUGGGUAGAUACUGACGCUGAGGUGCGAAAGCGUGGGGAGCAAACAGGG
rnacentral:rRNA from 1 species